rnacentral:rRNA from 1 species
GUUACUCUACCGUGCGAGGUUAAGCGAAAGCGUAGCCGUAGUGAAAGCGAGGCUUAAUAGGCCGACUAGUACGUUGGAGUAGACCCGAAACCGGGUGAUCUAUCCAUGAGCAGGUUGAAGCAAGGGUAAAGCCUUGUGGAGGACCGAACCGUCAACGGCUGAAAACGUUCCGGAUGACUUGUGGAUAGGGGUGAAAGGUCAAUCAAACCCGGUGAUAGCUGGUUCUCCCCGAAAUAUAUUGAGGUAUAGCCUCGGGAAUUGAUUAGCGGAGGUAAAGCACUGACAGAGCUAGGGGUCCUACCAGAUUACCAAACUCUAUCAAACUCAGAAUGCCGCUUAAUCGUAUCCCGGGAGUCAGACGGCGGGUGCGAAGGUUCGUCGUCAAAAGGGAAACAGCCCAGACCAACAGCUAAGGUCUCCAAAUCCAUGCUCAGUGGUGAAGGUAGUGGAACCGUUUAGACAGCCAGGACGUUGGCUUAGAAGCAGCCAUCGUUUAAAGAAAGCGUAAUAGCUCACUGGUCUAAUGGCUCUGCGCCGAAAAUGUAACGGGGCUAAGCAUGGUACCGAAGCUUUGGCAAUCUCCUUUGGAGAUUGGGUAGGGGAGCGUUCGCUGCGGGCUGAAGGUGUAUCGGAAGGUAUGCUGGACUGCAGUGAAGUGAUUAUGCUGACAUGAGUAACGAUAAAAUAUGUGAAAAACAUAUUCGCCGAAAACCCGAGGUUUCCUGGGUAAAGGUAAUCUUCCCAGGGUUAGUCGGAUCCUAAGGUGAGGGUGAAAGCCGUAACCGAUGGAAAACAGGUUAAUAUUCCUGUACUUGUUGUGUAGCGCGAUGGAGGGACGCAGGAAGAUAGGCGGGCCGGGUGUUGGAUAUCCCGGUGCAAGCGUGUAGGAAUAUCCGGUAGGCAAAUCCGCCGGACGAAUCUGAGACGCGAGUCCGUGGGCGCAAGCCCUGAAGCCGUUGAGUCUAUGCUGCCUAGAAAAGCUCCUAAGUUUAUCCACAGCAAUCCGUACCGCAAACCAACUCAGGUGGGUGGGAUGAACAAUCCAAGGCGCUCGAGAGAACUCUGGCCAAGGAACUCGGCAAAAUAACCCCGUAACUUCGGAAGAAGGGGUGCUCUCUAGGGUGACAUGUUUAACAUAUGAAGCCCCGGGGAGCCGCAGUGAAUUGGUGGUGGCGACUGUUUACUAAAAACAUAGGUCUGUGCGAAGUCCUAAAGACGACGUAUACGGACUGACGCCUGCCCGGUGCUGGAAGGUUAAAAGGAGGGGUCAGCGCAAGCAAAGCUCCGAAUUGAAGCCCCAGUAAACGGCGGCCGUAACUAUAACGGUCCUAAGGUAGCGAAAUUCCUUGUCGGGUAAGUUCCGACCUGCACGAAUGGCGUAACGAUCUCCACACUGUCUCGGCCAGAGACUCGGUGAAAUUGCAGUCGCGGUGAAAAUUCCGUGUACCCGCAGAAAGACGGAAAGACCCUGUGCACCUUUACUAUAGCUUGACAUUGGAUUUUGGGCCUGCAUGUGUAGGAUAGGUGGGAGGCUGUGAACCCUGUACGCCAGUAUGGGGGGAGCCAUCCUUGAAAUACCACCCUUGCAUGUUUAAGAUCCUAACUUCUUCCGGUUAUCCCGGAGAAAGACAGUGUCUGGCGGGUAGUUUGACUGGGGCGGUCGCCUCCUAAAGUGUAACGGAGGCAUGCAAAGGUUCCCUCAGCCUGAUCGGAAACCAGGCGCUGAGUGCAAACGCAUAAGGGAGCUUGACUGUAAGAGAGACAUCUCGAACAGGAACGAAAGUUGGCGUUAGUGAUCCGGUGGUCCCGAAUGGAAGGGCCAUCGCUCAUUGGAUAAAAGGUACGCCGGGGAUAACAGGCUGAUCGCAUCCAAGAGUUCACAUCGACGAUGCGGUUUGGCACCUCGAUGUCGGCUCAUCACAUCCUGGGGCUGAAGCAGGUCCCAAGGGUACGGCUGUUCGCCGUUUAAAGUGGUACGCGAGCUGGGUUUAAAACGUCGUGAGACAGUUUGGUCCCUAUCUUCUGUGGGCGAAGGAGAAUUGAGAGGGCCUGUCCCUAGUACGAGAGGACCGGGAUGGACGCACCCCUGGUGAUCCUGUUGUCGCGCCAGCGGCAUAGCAGGGUAGCUAUGUGCGGAAGGGAUAACCGCUGAAAGCAUCUAAGCGGGAAGCCUGCCUCAAGAUAAGUUCUCCCCUCGAAAGAGCUGAAGGGCCCGGGUAGACUACCCGGUCGAUAGGCUGGAGGUGUAAGCGCGGCGACGUGCUCAGCUGACCAGUACUAAUAGCCCGAGCGGCUUAUUUUU